GAUUAUAAGCGUGAGCCACCAUGCCUGGGCCCUUCGUCUCUAAACUCAUUUCUUCACCUGUAAAACUGGGAUAAUGGCACCACAUGCCUUACUCAGCGUGAGGUGGACUGUGACAGUCACGUGGGAGAAGGAGCGGGAGAGGCCUAGCAGCUGUGGCGUCCCCCAGAACCAACAUCCCGGGUAACCGGGUGGCUGAAGGACAGGUGACGUGUCCCUACCUCCCCCCCUUCCCUGCCCGAGGCUCCGGCAUCCACCGUCUUGCCUUCCUGCUCUUCAAGCAGGACCAGCCGAUUGACUUCUCUGAGGACGCACGCCCCUCACCCUGCUAUCAGCUGGCCCAGCGGACCUUCCGCACUUUUGAUUUCUACAAGAAACACCAAGAAACCAUGACUCCAGCCGGCUUGUCCUUCUUCCAGUGCCGCUGGGAUGACUCCGUCACCUACAUCUUCCACCAGCUUCUGGACAUGCGGGAGCCGGUGUUUGAGUUCGUGCGGCCGC
rnacentral:lncRNA from 1 species